CGCGUAGGCGGGAAUGCAAGUCAGAUUGUGAAAUCCCGAAGCUCAACUUCGGAACUGCAUUUGGAACUGCAUUUCUUGAGGAUAGGCGGAGAAAACGGAAUUCCAUGUGUAGCGGUGAAAUGCGUAGAUAUGUGGAAGAACACCAGUGGCGAAGGCGGUUUUCUAGCUUAUUCCUGACGCUCAGGCGCGAAAGCAAGGGGAGCGAACA
rnacentral:rRNA from 1 species